rnacentral:rRNA from 1 species
AAUCAACGCUGGCGGCGUGCCUCAGACAUGCAAGUCGAACGCGAAAGUUUCCUUCGGGAGAUGAGUAGAGUGGCGCACGGGUGAGUAACACGUGAGUAAUUUACCUUCGGGUGGGGAAGUACUAACCGGAAACGGUUGUUAAUACCGCAUAAUGCAGUGGCAUCAAUGAUGACAGUUGUUAAAGACGGGGGAGUUGGAGCAAUCCGACCUCGCGCCUGAAGAGAAGCUCGCGGCAGAUUAGCUAGUUGGUAAGGUAAUGG